rnacentral:rRNA from 1 species
GCGCAGCAGUCGCGAAAACUCCGCAAUACGCGAAAGCGUGACGGGGCUACCCCGAGUGUCGUCCGCUGAGGACGACUUUUCCACGCUGUAAGGAGGCGUGGGAAUAAGGGGAGGGCAAGUCUGGUGUCAGCCGCCGCGGUAAUACCAGCUCCUCGAGUGGUCGGGACGAUUAUUGGGCCUAAAGCAUCCGUAGCCGGUUCUGUAGGUCUCCUGUCAAAUUCAACGGCUCAACCGCUGAGCUGCAGGAGAUACCGCAGGGCUAGGAGGCGGGAGAGGUGGACGGUACUCUAUGGGUAAGGGUAAAAUCUUCUGAUCCAUGGAAGAGCACCAGUGGCGAAGGCGGUCCACCAGAACGCGCUCGACGGUGAGAGAUGAAAGCUGGGGGAGCGAACCGGAUUAGAUACCCGGGUAGUCC